GAUUACUUCAGCCUCAUCUUCCUUUUUAUCCACAAAACCCGAGACCUCAGGUCUACAACACCAAGCAGCUGCACUCCGACUAAAAAAACAACAAUGAACCAACAAAUGACUGCAGUUCUCCUGCUCUUUGGACUUUGCCUCAGUUCCUGCUCCCAGUUCCCACCACGCUGGUACUUCUACGUCAACCAGCCGCUGACCUGGACUCAGGCUCAGCAGUACUGCAGGGAGCAU